rfam:Schistosoma mattheei strain Denwood, Zambia genome assembly, scaffold: SMTD_contig0021268
AUCCAGCUGACGAGUCCAAAAUAGGGCAAAACACGCGUCCUGGAU